rnacentral:rRNA from 1 species
UACAGAGGAUGCAAGCGUUAUCCGGAAUGAUUGGGCGUAAAGCGUCUGUAGGUGGCUUUUUAAGUCCGCCGUCAAAUCCCAGGGCUCAACUCUGGACAGGCGGUGGAAACUACCAAGCUGGAGUACGGUAGGGGCAGAGGGAAUUUCCGGUGGAGCGGUGAAAUGCGUAGAUAUCUGGAAGAACACCCGUGGCGAAGGCGGCUCUCUGGGACGGUACUGACGCUGAGACGCGAAAGCGUGGGGAGCGAACAGG